UACAGAGGUCCCGAGCGUUGUUCGGAUUCACUGGGCGUAAAGGGUGCGUAGGUGGCCUGAAAAGUUUGAUGUGAAGCUCAGGGCUUAACCCUGAAAUGGCAUUGAAUACUGUUGGGCUGGAGGUUUGGAGGGGGACUGGAAUUCUUGGUGUAGCAGUGAAAUGCGUAGAUAUCAAGAGGAACACCAGCGGCGAAGGCGAGUCCCUGGACAACACCUGACACUGAGGCACGAAAGCUAGGGGAGCAAACAGG
rnacentral:rRNA from 1 species